rnacentral:rRNA from 1 species
AUUGAACGCUGGCGGCAGGCCUAACACAUGCAAGUCGAACGAGUGGCGGAAGGGUGAGUAAUGUCUGGGAAACUGACUGAUGGAGGGGGCUAACUACUGGAAACGGUAGCUAAUACCGCAUACAAUCGGCUGUGCCAAGAUGGGAUUAGCUAGUAGGGGGGGUAAAGGCUAACCUAGGCGACGAUCCCUAGCUGGUCUGAGAGGAUGACCAGCCACACUGGGACUGAGACACUGCCCAGACUCCUACGGGAGGCAGCAGUGGGGAAUAUUGCGCAAUGGGCGCAAGCCUGAUGCAUCCAUGCCGCGUGUAUGAAGAAGGCCUUCGGGUUGUAAAGUACUUUCAGCGGGGAGGCGUUACCCGCAGAAGAAGCACCGGCUAACUCCGUGCCAGCAGCCGCGGUAAUUC